UACGGAGGAGGCAAGCGUUAUCCGGAAUUAUUGGGCGUAAAGCGUCCGCAGGUGGCUAUUCAAGUCUGCGGUCAAAGACUGGGGCUUAACCCUGGAAAGGCCGUGGAAACUGAAGAGCUAGAGUGCAGUAGGGGUAGAGGGAAUUCCCGGUGUAGCGGUGAAAUGCGUAGAACUCGGGAAGAACAUCGGUGGCGAAAGCGCUCUGCUGGACUGCAACUGA
rnacentral:rRNA from 1 species